rnacentral:rRNA from 1 species
UGCAGUCGAGCGGCAGCGGAGAGUAGCUGGCUACUUUGCCGGCGAGCGGCGGAGGGGUGAGUAAUGUCUGGGAAACUGCCUGAUGGAGGGGGAUAACUACUGGAAACGGUCGCUAAUACCGCAAAACGUCGCAAGACCAAAGAGGGGGACCUUCGGGCCUCUCGCCAUCAUAUGUGCCCAGAUGGGAUUAGCUAGUAUGUGGGGUAACGGCUCACCUAGGCCACGAUCCCUAGCUGGUCUGAGAGGAUGACCAGCCACACUGGAACUGAGACACGGUCCAGACUCCUACGGGAGGCAGCAGUGGGGAAUAUUGCACAAUGGGCGCAAGCCUGAUGCACCCGUGCCGCGUGUAUGAAGAAGGCCUUCGGGUUGUAAAGUACUUUCAGCGGGGAGGAAGGCGUUGAGGUUAAUAACCUCAGCGAUUGACGUUACCCGCAAAAGAAGCACCGGCUAACUCCGUGCCAGCAGCCGCGGUAAUACGGAGGGUGCAAGCGUUAAUCGGAAUUACUGGGCGUAAAGCGCACGCACGCGGUCUGUCAAGUCAGAUGUGAAAUCCCCGGGCUCAACCUGGGAACUGCAUUCGAAACUGGCAGGCUAGAGUCUUGUAGAGGGGGGUAGAAUUCCGGGUGUAGCGGUGAAAUGCGUAGAGAUCUGGAAGAAUACCGGUGGCGAACGCGGCCCCCUGGACAAAGACUGACGCUCAUGUGCGAAAGCGUGGGGAGCACACAAGAUUAUAUACCCUGGUACUCCACGCCGUACACGAUGUCGACGUGGAUGUUGUGCCCUUGAGGCGUGGCUUCCAGAGCUAACGCGUUAACUCCACCGCC